GCAGAAUGUAAUCCUUAAAGAUUGGAUGUGUUAUCGAAGACCCCUAUAGCUACAUAAUUUAAGAUUAGUACAUGCACACACAUUAAGUGUAUAUACUCAGACUAAUAUUUAUUAAUUCUUUUUUUCCAAUAGCCUUUGUUAUCACUAGCUAGAGGAGAAUUUUGAACCUUUGCUUGACCUGGAAGAUGAUGCUUCUCUUUCCUCUGGUUAUAUUUCUCUCUUCAUGUAGCCUUUAAUUUAUAUUAUUUUGUUAUAAUAAAUGAUAUAAUUGAGCUUGAGGCUGAUUAUUUAUUUUUAUUUUUGCUAGGCAAUACAAAUGCAUGUUUUCAUGUUGUGUAGAAAGUUUGAGUGGACUCCCAUCAAAAUUUGAAUUGAUUUUAAAUGUUGUAAAAAGCACUACAUCACACAGUGGCGAAUCUAUGGGGGCCAGGGCCGUGGGGGCAAUGACCCACAAAUUUUUUUGAAGUAAUGUAAACUUUGGUUUGCCUAUGUAAACUGUGAAGCAGCUGCAGUACUGAACUAUGUAAACAAUUAAUUUUUAAACCACCAUACAAUAGAGCUCAUUUUAACAGGCUUUAGUCUUUAUAAUAAUUUUUACUUCCCUAAAAGUUUUGCACAAAGCUUAAUUGACCACGCCCCCUAAUUACCCCUCCCAUCUCAUAAUUGCCCCCCAAAAAUUAAGUCUUAGAUCCGCCCCUGCUACAUCACUUAGUACACCUUAAAAUUCAUUUUUCGUCUGAUUGCGCAAUACCUGAGGUCAAUGGUGCAAUAGCUAGUCUCCACGUGGUGUAACCUUUUCAUGACCAAUCAGAUUCAUCCACACAAGGGCUCUUCCCGCCAAAACCCAGUGGCUAUAUAGCGAGCCACAUUUCCUCUUCUACUCAUUUCUGGCGUUUCUUUGGGCGGGAAAGGAAGGACUCUCUCUGCUACAGUUAUCAGCAGUGGCCAGGUCCUUCAGUCUUUCUGUAAAAGGUUAUGGCGGGUUGUGACCUCUUCUUCAAUGGCUGCUAUGGUUAACAGCAGUUAGUUUUUAGUCCCUGCCUUCUCUAAAAGGUCACAGGAGAUUCUGACCUCUUUCUGCUGUGGUUAGCAGUCUUAGGCUAACGCCCAGCCAUGAACUUACCUGAUGUUUGAGUUUCCCGCCAUUUUUAUCAAGCCACGCCCACAAAAGGAUUAAAUGGGCCAGACUCUUCUAAUGAGAAAGACUCGACAAAUGAAGAGGAAACAAAGCUGUAAUUGUCAAGUUGGAUCAAGGUUUUGUUGAAGUCCUUUUAUUAUCGUGAAACUGAAUGUGUCUUGGACUGGAAGCAUGUCACGGAUUGAUGGAGUCGUUGCUAUGGAUUCUCAUGGAUCAAUCAGCAAGUGCUGCAAGUCAAUAGUUGUACUGCUAGCCGGGCUGGCCGACCAGACCUGGCUAGUAACGCACUCAUACAAUCCUUGCAUGUCAUUAUAUGUAUGUCCCCAUGUGCAUGCGUAUAAUACCAUUAGGGAGGGGCCGGUUACACGAAACAUCACGCGUAUGUAUUAAUGUAAAGAACCCUGUAGUGUAGGUACAUUCCCCGUUAUUACCGACUGGCCUGAUACGCUUGUAUAGCUUGUCCUGUCAUACACUAGGAAAUGUGUGCUUAGUAAUAUUUGUUGGCCUU